rnacentral:rRNA from 1 species
UUUGCUCACACUCUAGCCUGUUCAGAAGCUGAUCCUAACGACGUCAGCAAGCUGUCGUCACCAGGAUACCAAUGAGAAGCCAGGUGGAACAGCCCCGAAGGUAUUCGUUGCAAUCCUCAAUCCCGACCACCACAUUCCGCUAAAGGUUAUAACACUCCCGAAGGAGCCACAUCCCUCCAGCCUUUUUAUGACGUUCGAAAUUGAUGUUAACCAGCUGACACGAAAGUGCACCUUUUCGUCAAGAGUUCACGCUUCGUGACGGUUUUGAGGCUCGUCGCGCCAUGUAAUCGCACCCAAAAGGCUGAUUACCCGCCGGUACGACUG